CGCCUGGGGAGUGCGGCCGCAAGGUUAAAACUCAAAUGAAUUGACGGGGGCCCGCACAAGCGGUGGAGCAUGUGGUUUAAUUCGACGCAACGCGAAGAACCUUACCUGGCCUUGACAUGCAGAGAACUUUCCAGAGAUGGAUUGGUGCCUUCGGGAACUCUGACACAGGUGCUGCAUGGCCGUCGUCAGCUCGUGUCGUGAGAUGUUGGGUUAAGUCCCGUAACGAGCGCAACCCCUAUCCCUAGUUGCUAGCGGUUCGGCUGAGAACUCUAGGGAGACUGCCGGUGACAAACCGGAGGAAGGUGGGGAUGACGUCAGGUCAUCAUGGCCCUUACGGCCAGGGCUACACACGUGCUACAAUGGCGCGCACAGAGGGCUGCAAACCCGCGAGGGGGAGCCAAUCUCACAAAACGCGUCGUAGUCCGGAUCGCAGUCUGCAACUCGACUGCGUGAAGUCGGAAUCGCUAGUAAUCGUGAAUCAGAAUGUCACGGUGAAUACGUUCCCGGGCCUUGUACACACCGCCCGUCACACCAUGGGAGUGGAUUGCACCAGAAGUGGUUAGUCUAACCUUCGGGAGGACGAUCACCACGGUGUGGUUCAUGACUGGGGUGAAGUCGUAACAAGGUAACCGUA
rnacentral:rRNA from 1 species